CUGUGUGAGCUCUGGAGCUGUCCUCCCACACAUGGCAGUGAUCAUCAGCCUCAUCUUCAGGCUGGAGCUCAGAUAUGAACAAAUGUGCUGUAUUAGUUGAUGCCUCUUUUGAUCUAGAGAAGCAACUAGAAAACCCUGAUCCCAACUGCUUGUUUGAGCCUGAGUAAUACAACAGGAAAACUGGAAAGCUCCCUGACUUCUGAUGAUACCAGAAUAUACUUUCUCCUGCAAUGUUGUUGCCACUUUUCAGAGUGCAGGGAGAAGGGGAUGCAAUCAUGACUCAUCCAAGAACUCUUUCUCAGUGCAUGGUCCUGUGAUGCAACAGAAGACACAAGCUGGGCCUGGUGCUUGUCUCCAAAGUUGAUUGAGUGAUGGACAUGCUCAGACAAGACUCUUGAACAUACCUGAAUCUCAUCUUCACUGGCCUGGAUCCCUGGGUGAGCCCCAGGUCUGAGUAACCCCUACAGAGACUUUGGAGCUGUCACCCUGGUGUAGCCUUCACUGACAGGAGCUUUGCUCUGAGGGACACAUGGGGAAUCAUGAUGUUACUGUCAGAAAACAUGGUUCUAAAUAUCCAGGCCCACCUGAUCCCACAUCAAACAGAGAAACAAGUCUCUUUUCUUUGGUGAGAAGGUGAGUUUAUUUAAGAUGCAUCAACAAGGAACUAGAGGGGAAAAAAAAGCUUUCCAAG